UCGAGCUGACCUCGGA
rnacentral:rRNA from 1 species